rnacentral:rRNA from 1 species
CACGUAGGCGGCCAUCUAAGUCAGAUGUGAAAGCCCGGAGCUCAACUCCGGAAGUGCAUUUGAUACUGGAUGGCUUGAGUAUGGGAGAGGGAAGUGGAAUUCCUGGUGUAGAGGUGAAAUUCGUAGAUAUCAGGAGGAACAUCGGUGGCGAAGGCGACUUCCUGGACCAAUACUGACGCUCAGGUGCGAAGGCGUGGGGAGCAAACAG